UUAGCAGUCUGGGGACUACACAAACUCCUGUGGCUGAUAAACUGCUGUGUCAUUUUCAUCCUGUUUCAGAGCCCUAAUAGAUGCCAAGCAGAUACAGAAAGCUGAACUUCGAGAUAAACGCAGGAGGAAGCAUUAAAGCGUGGAACUAUGCUGUGACUGAUCAUCUCUGGAGUGCGACAUGUUAUCAACUGGGUAGCCUCCUGUUGUUGCUGCACCGGGAAGGAUGGGCUGGUUUCAGACUGCCAGUGUAAAGGGCAGAAAGUGUGGACGGUCAACUGUGAUGGAAAACCCUCCCCUUCAUAAUGGAACCUACAGCAUCUACUGCUGUUAGACCGCCAUGUUUAGACAUCUGCUUUCCCUAAACUGUAGGUGGUGCUGGAGGCCUACUUGUUACAAUGACGACUUGUCUGAAAACUCCUUUUUCAGGAAGCCAGACAAUGUCUGACAGCUGACAAGUGUACAGUAGCAUCCUUUAAAUCUAAGAUAAAAAUGUCACUUUAUAAGCCCAAAAGUGCUGACCAAAAAAAACUAAUAAAAAAUUAUCUGGAUCAA